rnacentral:lncRNA from 1 species
GCAUUAAUUUAUGCAUUAAUUUUUUUUAUGUUUUUGAAAAAUUUUUCCAUAUUUUUUUUUUUUAUAUUUUUGGAAUUACUAAUGAAUGUAACAUAAAUUUUGGUACAGCUUCUUAAUUAAAGUGUAUAUUAUUUUAUAUAAAUUUUUGCGUUUUUUUUUUGAACAAAAUAUAAUAAAUUAAAAAUGGUUUUAAAAUUAUAAAUUAUUUUUAAAAUCAUUUCACAAAUAAUAAAGACUUUGUUAAUAAAAAGAAGAAAUACAAACACUAAUAUAAGUAUUUAUAUAAGUAUUUAUAUAAGUAUUUCUAUAUGCAUAUAUCUAUAUUUUGAAUUUUUCUAUUUUUAAAUAAACUUUGGAUAUAUAUGUCAUGGUAAACCAUGGUAAAAUAUUUUUUUAUUAUUUAGUAUUCUGCUCACGUGUUUGUUUAGUCGUUCUUUCGCUUGUCCUUCCGUCUGUUUGACAAUUUGCUUAUUCAUUUGUUAUUAUUAUUAUUAUUAUUUUAUUUAUUUUUUUUUUUUAUUGUUCCCCAUAAAUAUAUUUUUUAAAGAUGUCUGCAGAGGAAAUAAAAAAAAACGAUUAUGAAGACAUAUUGUUAAAAUUAUCAUUAACAAAUGAUGACAAAAUUGGAAAUGUGUUGUACAAAUUAAUUCCCAUUUUAUUAGAUGAAGUAUUAUUAUGUGAAAAGAGUUUUAAAGUUUUAUUAACAAAAAUAAUCAACCAUUGUAUGAUAAGAUGUAAAUCGAUAGAGAAUUUGCGUAUGCCUCUUGCUGAAAUAGCUUAUAAUCAUUUUAAAAAUAUUGAUAAUGUUAGCAGUGAUAGAAUAUUAUAUGACAAAAUAUUUUGUUUAUUUUUAGAUAUAGGGUUUAAAAGUAAGCAUGAUGAAGAGAAAUUAAAAUUUCUAAAAGCAAUAAUUGAAAAUAGUGAAAAACUUCGUGUACAUAAAUCUAUUAGUAUAUUUCUUAUAAUAAAAUUUGCUGAAAGUUUAGAAAUUUUAAACGAUAGUAAUAAUAAAAAAUAUAUGGAAGAAUUUAUUUUGAAUCAUUUAAGAAAAGUAGUUAAUGAUGUAGACAAUGCUACAUCUAUUUUAAGUGCUAGUGCUAUUGCCAAUUUAGUGCUAGUACUAUCACUAAUGCUAGUUUAUAUGGUAGUACUAUUACUGAGAGUAAAGAAAUGAAAACCAAGUAUUCUCAUGAUAACCACACUAACCUAUUAGAUGAUAACAAGAUUUAUAAUUUUAUGAAAUGUUUAAAUGAAUUUUUAGCUUUUCCUAUUAAUAAUAAAAAUAUAGAAGAUAUAAAAUUUCUUUCA